AUUGAACGCUGUCGGCAGGCUUAACACAUGCAAGUCGAACGAGUGGCGGACGGGUGAGUAAUGCUUGGGAAACUCCCUUAUGGAGGGGGAUAACUACUGUAAACUGUAGCUAAUACCGCUUACCCUCGGAUGUGCCCACGUGGGAUUAGCUAUUUGUGGGGGUAAAGGCUCACCAAGGCGACGCUCUCUAGCUGGUCUGAAAGGAUGACCAGCAACAACGGAACUGAGACACGGUCCAGACGCCUACGGGAGGCAGAAGUGGGGAAUAUUGCACAAGGGGGGCAAACCUGAUGAAGCCAUGCCGCGUGAAUGAAGAAGGCCUUCGGGUUGUAAAGUUCUUUCAGUAGAGAGGCGUUACCUACAGAAGAAGCACCGGCUAACUCCGUGCCAGCAGCCGCGGUAAUUC
rnacentral:rRNA from 1 species